rnacentral:rRNA from 1 species
GACGAACGCUGGCGGCGUGCUUAACACAUGCAAGUCGAACGGAAAGGCCCUGCUUGCAGGGUACUCGAGUGGCGAACGGGUGAGUAACACGUGGGUGAUCUGCCCUGCACUUCGGGAUAAGCCUGGGGAACGGGGUCUAAUACCGGAUAGGAGCCAUUUUUAGUGUGAUGGUUGGAAAGUUUUUUCGGUGUAGGAUGAGCUCGCGGCCUAUCAGCUUGUUGGUGGGGUAAUGGCCUACCAAGGCGGCGACGGGUAGCCGGCCUGAGAGGGUGGACGGCCACAUUGAGACUGAGAUACGGCCCAGACUCCUACGGGAGGCAGCAGUGGGGAAGAUUGCACAAUGGGCGCAAGCCUGAUGCAGAGACGCCGCGUGGGGGAUGACGGCCUUCGGGUUGUAAACUCCUUUCGCUAGGGACGAAGCUUUUUGUGACGGUACCUAGAUAAGAAGCACCGGCUAACUACGUG